rfam:TPA: Bos taurus chromosome 4, whole genome shotgun sequence.
UCCCUGGUGGUCCAGUGGUUGGGACUCUGAACUUCCAGUGCAGGGGGCACGGGUUCAAUCCCUGGUUGGGGAG